rnacentral:rRNA from 1 species
GACGAACGCUGGCGGCGUGCUUAACACAUGCAAGUCGAACGGAAAGGCCCUGCUUUUGUGGGGUGCUCGAGUGGCGAAAGGGUGAGUAACACGUGAGUAACCUGCCCUUGACUUUGGGAUAACUUCAGGAAACUGGGGCUAAUACCGGAUAGGAGCUCCUGCUGCAUGGUAGGGGUUGGAAAGUUUCGGCGGUUGGGGAUGGACUCGCGGCUUAUCAGCUUGUUGGUGGGGUGGUGGCUUACCAAGGCUUUGACGGGUAGCCGGCCUGUGAGGGUGACCGGCCACAUUGGGACUGAGAUACGGCCCAGACUCCUACGGGAGGCAGCAGUGGGGAAUAUUGCACAAUGGGCGGAAGCCUGAUGCAGCAACGCCGCGUGCGGGAUGACGGCCUUCGGGUUGUAAACCGCUUUCGCCUGUGACGAAGCGUGAGUGACGGUAAUGGGUAAAGAAGCACCGGCUAACUACGUG